CAUUAAUACCACGGGGGAUUGGGAUAGAAUUUAGCAGGUUUUUUUCUUAUUAGUGAGUUGAGUAACGUUUGUUUUUCUAGUCAAUUAAUGGAUGAAUCGCAUGGCGGGGAAUAUACGAUGAAUUAUUGAUGCUGCCAUAGUUUGUCGAUUUCUUAUUUCAAUUUGUAAACAGAAAAGAAUUAUUGUUUAGAA